rnacentral:rRNA from 1 species
UACGUAGGGGGCAAGCGUUGUCCGGAAUUAUUGGGCGUAAAGCGCGUGUAGGCGGCCAGAUAAGUCCGCUGUGAAAUCUCGAGGCUCAACUUCGAGCUGUCGGUGGAAACUGUCUGGCUAGAGUCCGGAAGAGGUGAGUGGAACUCCUAGUGUAGAGGUGGAAUUCGUAGAUAUUAGGAAGAACACCAGUGGCGAAGGCGGCUCACUGGUCCGGUACUGACGCUGAGGUGCGAAAGCGUGGGGAGCAAACAGG